rnacentral:misc_RNA from 3 species
AACGCAAAUGGCACUCUAUGGUAUUCCGUAGAGUACGUCUGUUUGAGCGUCGCGAACAUCUCCACAAUUAGUUUUUUUUAAAAAUUAGUUGAGGGUUUUGAGGUUGUCAUAUAAACAAUGACUCCCUUUAAAAUAAUUAGUGAUGACCUUAUGAAUGGGUUAAUACUGUGUGUUAUAAUGGAUUACAUCCAUCACCAGUCAGAGAGUAAUCUCGCCUUAGUAAUUUGUAGUGAUUGCUUCUAACUGCCAUUGGCAACAACCUGAUCAAAUCGACCUCAAAUCAGAUGGGAUUACCCGCUGAACUUAA